AGUCAGCCUGCCCAGAGCACCUGUGGUAAGAAUCAGGGAGAGAAGAACUCCCCAAAGGAAAAUGGAGAAGCAGCUCUCAGAAGAAGGGUUCUCCAAUGAGGCAAAGCACCCUCCAACCCCAAGAACACCCUCGGGUCUGUGAACUCCAAUGGCUGUGACAAUAUUGAAGAGAAACCGAGCAGGUGUGAUGCUGGUUUCCAAAGUUGACCUGCUGCUGGUUGAGUCAUAUCUGCCUGUCUUCCGGAGGUGGUAUGUACUGACCGGAGACCCAAGAUUGGAAAUUCGAAUUCCAGCAAUGGGACACCAGCCUCCUUCCUCUUCUAGCGCCGUUCCAGGACAGCAGCUGAGACACCCCUUGGGAAGUUCAAAGAUGGUGGAUGUCACCACCCAGGAGAGCUCAGGGAGGGUCCUCCCAGCCAGCGGCAUUGCAUCCAGUCCUUCCAGGUGCUUCGAGAGAAGGGCCGAGAACUUUAGUCACCCAGAGCAGAAGUGACUCAGGCGCACCUGCAGAAUCCAAUGGAGGAGAAGUGACGAGGGAUGAAGAAGAAGGGAUAUAGAACAGCCACAUACCACGAAGAAGCAGACACAGCUCAUGCUAGAGGGGAAUGAAAGCAUUAGUUGAAUUCACGGUUUACUUAGAAAGUCAGAUUCGGACAAAGACAUCAUAAGGAAAAUGAUAACGAUGUCCUACAGGUUUUCCCAUAACUACUUUCAUGUGUAUUACCUGAUGACAUCCAUCCAAAACAAAAACAAAAACAAAAAUAAAAAAACAAACAAG